rnacentral:rRNA from 1 species
UACAGAGGGGGCAAGCGUUGUUCGGAAUUACUGGGCGUAAAGGGCGCGUAGGCGGCUUUGCAAGACAGAUGUGAAAUCCCCGGGCUUAACCUGGGAACUGCAUUUGUGACUGCAUGGCUAGAGUGCGGCAGAGGGGGAUGGAAUUCCGCGUGUAGCAGUGAAAUGCGUAGAUAUGCGGAGGAACACCGAUGGCGAAGGCAAUCCCCUGGGCCUGCACUGACGCUCAUGCACGAAAGCGUGGGGAGCAAACAGG